rnacentral:rRNA from 1 species
CCGGCAAAGCAAACUGCUGGCGCUGGCUGCGUGCGGCGCGGACGCAGCAGAUAGGUAGGUGGGGCACGAGCAGAAGGUGGAACCGAGGACUAGGACCAGGUUCGAUCCCUCCUCCUCAUCGAAGGCGCGACCAGAGCAGAGCAAAUAUAUAUGGAGGAGGGGGCGAGGGUGGGGGCCGGCAAGAAUAGGGGUCUUCGAAGGUGGCUAGGUGGAGUGGUAGGAGAGGGGGGGAAGAGGUAGAGGUGGGGAGAGGAGCGGCGGAGAAGUACGCGGUAAGGGCAGAUCGUCGUGGCCCGUAGGUGCCGCGCGUGUCCAUCUUGCUCCCUAGCUCUAGCUGGCCGCUACGGCAGCGAGAGGACGGUGUUGGACGACCUGGACCGCCUCCUCGACGGGGGUAGGGGCGAGGCCGAGGGCGCCCAGUACCGGCCGCGGAGGGGGAGGAGCGGCCGGAGCGGCAGGGGCCGGCCCGGUGGAGCGGCCCAGUAGCAGAGCGUGGCCGAGGGGGAGGCGCGCAGGGGGCUGGGGCGCCGCGGCAAGCCCGACGCGAAGUGGCAGCUGCGCCCGUGGCAGCGGAUGGUCGAGGCGAGCCCGGACGGGCGGAGGCGGGGGCACGACGUGCAGCCGUGCGACGGGGGGCGGCGGCGGCUCCGGCGGAGGCUGCUCGAGCGGUCGAUGGACCACCGCGUGAAGAGGACGGAGGGGCAGAAGGAGGGGCGGCUGGAGGUGCCGUUCAAGAUGGUGCCGAAGACGUUCGUGAUGUACACCGGCGAGGAGGUGAUGGACGAGGGCGAGUGCGGGAGGUGCGAGCCCCCCGACGGGAAGCUGGCGCGCGAGAUGGUGAGGAAGGAGAGGCGGUUGGCGCGGAAGCGGCUGGCGGAGUGGCUCCACGAGCGGGGGCUGCUGCUGAAGCAGACCUAGGUCCUGAUGGUGGAGGAGCGGGAGGGGUGGAAGGAGGCGUUCGCGAAGGGCGCGCGGUCUCAGCCUAAGAAGGAGGUGAGCGGGAAGGGGAGGAGGCUCUAGAAGGCGUGGUAGGGGCAGGCGCUGCUGGACGAGGCGCGGGAGGAGUUGCGGCUGGAGCAGCCGAAGGUGUGGAAGCUGAUGCGCGCGGUGAAGGAAAGCCGGACGAGGGCGGAGGAGCCGGAGCUGAUGGUCAGGUUCGCGCCUAUGUAGCCGUAGCUCAUGAUGCCGGCGUGGCAGUGGCAGUUCUAAGACGGGCAGCCGUAGCUGUACCCGGUCGAGGCCAGCCAGCACAGCCGCGGCCUCUGCCGCCUGCACCACGCGGUCCAGCGGCUGCGGAUGUUCCCCUCCGCGGAGUACGAGCCGCACCUGCUGCAGCUGGAGAAGUUCCCCUAGCCCGAGUUCAAGGACCCCUACCUCGUCGACGACCACCUCUUGGGGCUCGAGGCCCCGUUCCGGCACGAGCACGUUUAGUGGUUAGGCCGCGCGUCGCUCCCGGCCCUGCACGUCCUCCACGUCCUACUCCGGUCUCGGUAGUCGCGGGCACAGUUGCUCGCCAAGCCGUGGGGGCCCAUGUGGGGGUAGCACUACUAGUCGGCGGGCCACAGCCUCGUGCUCUUCCGCCGAAUGAUGCGGCGGCGGCUCACGACGCACCACUCGCGGCAGGCGCUGCCCGAGUUGGCCUAAGGCAUGUAGAUGUGCCACACGGCCGUCCUCUCGUGGCGGGACCCGCUGCGGGGGUUCGCUUCGCAGUAGCACGACAGGCUCAAGCACCCUACGAGGGGCAGCGAGUCGCCCCGCUAGGCCCACUUGGGUACCUCGCACCUCAGGCACCGUCUCCGGUACUCGAGCCGUAACUCCUACAGGCUGCCGCUCGUCGCCGACGCGGUGCUCUUCGUAAUGUUCAUACACUCGUGGGUACUACACCGGAUGACCCGCGCCAGGAAGCUGGUCCUGGACGUCGCCCGGACGUUCCUGGUAAAGAGCGCCGCCGUAACCCCCUAACCCAAGCCCUACUCGAAGUUCCACCACCGCGAACCGGGUUUAAAGUCCGCCGAGAGGCAGCUCGUGUAACACGGCAGCAAGUCCUUCUGCCUCUUGGCCGACUAAGAGGACCUGAUGCUACCGUGGCACUACGGCCUCUCAAGGUAGCUGUUCCGCGGCUCGUCACUCCAGUAGAGACAGAACUUAGCCGACACGCUUCUAGGCUUCUUGUCCCACAAGUAGCACUCGCCAGCCCCCUUCCUACUCGACUCGUUCACCAAGCGCGGUACACUCUUCGACCCCUAACGACGUCUCGUACCGAUGAAGUGAUCCACCUCGUUCCUUAGCGGUACCCUCUGGACGCCCGACCACCGUCUGAAGCUAACCUUCUUCUGCCGGCUCGGCCACUACUCUGACAUGUGUCUCCGGUGGCUACCUAGCAUGUAGCUCGUGUUCCUCUCGCGCGACCACACCGUGGUGCUGCUCCGCCUAGGACUGAAGCCAAGUACGGUCCGCUUCCUCGACGAGCUGGUAGAGCUCUCGCACGAGCGGUUGCUCGGUCAGCAGCACUUCUCCCCGGUCGUGUAGCACCUCCAAUUGGGGGUCCCGUAGUCGUUCCCGCACCACCACCUCUCGGAGGACAGCAGGUACCACGCGCCGCCGUUCCGCGGGCUGAAGCACGAGACGUAGCCCCUGCUGGCCAGGCUGCUCCUGUACAAGCUCUCGUAGCACACGGGCCGGUUGCCGUCGCACUUCGAGGGCCGCUGCUCGCUCCACAAGCGCACGUGGCACCCCUUCUUCGGCUCGUACCGGUUCAUGAUGGACCUGCUGUGCCACCUGCACUAGUUCUACGACGUCCCCGAGCGCUUGCGCGGCAGCGUCGUCGCCGGCACCGGGCACGUCGAGGCCCAGUGGAAGCUCCUUCCUUUGCCUCAUACUUGUUUGGUUCCUCCUCUACAGUUAUUGGUCACUUUUUUCUUCCUGCUGCCACCACUACUACUACUACUACUAAGUCGCUCAGCCAACCACACCAAAAUCCUAAUCGACGUCAAUGUCCUAUUUGUCCAAAGAAAGAAGAAGAAAGAAAAAGACCAAAUGCAAAGGCUGGAGAAGGAGAGCGCGUGCGUAUAUGUAUACGGGCGGGCGGGGGUAUGUAACUCGCACUCUCCCUCUCCAAACAAGGAAGCCCAGUGUAACAUAUACAUCAACUGCUACUGCUACUUUAGUUAGUCUCGUUCUUUUUACUAAGAAAGUCCGGGGGGGGUACGAUACCGCUAUCAUAUAGGAACUAGGUAGGGAGGGGGUGAUAACGUUGG